GAUGAAGAACGUAGUGAAAUGCGAUAAUUAAUGUGAAUUGCAGAAUUCAGUGAAUCAUCGAGUCUUUGAACGCACAUUGCGCCCCCUGGUAUUCCGGGGGGCAUGCCUGUCCGAGCGUCAUUGCUGCCCUCAAGCACGGCUUGUGUGUUGGGCUUCCGUCCCUGGCAACGGGGACGGGCCCAAAAGGCAGUGGCGGCACCAUGUCUGGUCCUCGAGCGUAUGGGGCUUUGUCACCCGCUCCCGUAGGUCCAGCUGGCAGCUAGCCUCGCAACCAAUCUUUUUAACCAGGUUGACCUCGGAUCAGGUAGGGAUACCCGCUGAACUUAAGCAUAUCAAAUAAGCGGAGGA
rnacentral:misc_RNA from 1 species